AAAUGAAUAGACGGGGACCCGCACAAGCGGUGGAGCAUGUGGUUUAAUUCGACGAUAAGCGAGGAACCUUACCAAGUCUUGACAUGUAGCUGCAAGAUCUAGAAAUAGAUCCGCCUUCGAGGGUGCUACACAGGUGCUGCACGGUUGUCGUCAGCUCGUGCCGUGAGGUGUUCACUUAAGUGUGAAAACGAGCGCAACCCCUAUUACCAGUUACAAGUGUCUGGUGAAACUGCCGGCGUUUAAGCCGGAGGAAGGUGGGGAUGACGUCAAAUCAGCGUGGCUCUUACGACUUGGGCGACACACGUGCUACAAUGGAAUGGAACAAAGGGACGCCAAGGAGCAAUCCGGAGCAAAUCCAAUCAAAACAUUCCUCAGUUCGGAUUGAGGGCUGCAACUCGCCCUCAUGAAGCUGGAAUCGCUAGUAACCGUAGAUCAGCCUCGCUACGGUGAAUACGUUCUCGGGUUUUGUACACACCGCCCGU
rnacentral:rRNA from 1 species